GACGAACGCUGGCGGCGUGCUUAACACAUGCAAGUCGAACGGUGAAGGGGCCUGCUUUUGUGGGCCCUGGUUGAGUGGCGCACGGGUGAGAAACACGUGAGUAACCUGCCCCCUUCUUCUGGAUAACCGCAUGAAAGUGUGGCUAAUACGGGAUUUUCUGGGUCUGUCGCAUGCUGGGUCUGGGAAAGAUUGCGCCUUUGGGUGUUUUUGGUGGGGGAUGGGCUCGCGGUCUAUCUGCUGGUUGGUGGAGUGAUGGCCUCCCAAGGAGGUGACGCGUAGCCGGGCUGAGGGGGUGGACGGUCGGACUGGAGAUGAGACACGGACCAGACUGGUACGGAGCGGAGCAGUGGAGUAGACUACGCGAGGAGGCCUAGCCUAAUGCAGCGGCGCCGCGGGAGAGGGGGAGGGGUUCGGGAUGUAAUCCUCUUUCGCAAGAAAAGCAGGCCUGCUACUUGUGGGUGGGUUGACGGUAGCUGGAGAAGAAGCGCCGGCUAACUACGUG
rnacentral:rRNA from 1 species